rnacentral:rRNA from 1 species
CAUUAGUGAAACUCAGUGAAUUGCUUCUCGCUUCUUGGAGCAGAAGCUUUUCUCUUCACAUCCAUAACACCUGUGAACUGUAAGAUGUGGUGAUUUUGGUCCCCUUCUGCCCCCAUUUUAAACAUUUAAAGUAACAAAAGUAGUAUUAUUAUAAUCUAAUAAAACUUUCAACAAUGGAUCUCUUGGCUCUCGCAUCGAUGAAGAACGCAGCGAAAUGCGAUAAGUAAUGUGAAUUGCAGAAUUCAGUGAAUCAUCGAAUCUUUGAACGCACCUUGCGCUCUAUGGUAUUCCGUAGAGCAUGCCUGUUUGAGUGUCAUGAAAACAAUCAACUUCAAUUUUGGUUCAUUCUAUUGUUGAGGCUUGGACUUGGGUGUUUGCCAUCUGUUAUGGAUGGCUCAUCUUAAAUAUAUUAGCUGGACUUGUUUGUGAGAACUGGUUUGACUUGGCGUAAUAAAUAUUUCGUUAAGGACAUCUUUAGAUGGCCACUUUUCUCAACAGUUGUCUGCUUUCUAACCUUUGUUUUCCUUGGAAACAUGACUUUUUAUUAUUUGGCCUCAAAUCAGGUAGGACUACCC